UACGUAGGGGGCAAGCGUUGUCCGGAUUUAUUGGGCGUAAAGAGCUCGUAGGCGGCUUGUCGCGUCGUCCGUGAAAACCUGGGGCUCAACUCCGGAUCUGCGGUGGGUACGGGCAGACUAGAGUGAUGUAGGGGAGACUGGAAUUCCUGGUGUAGCGGUGAAAUGCGCAGAUAUCAGGAGGAACACCGAUGGCGAAGGCAGGUCACUGGGCCGCAACUGACGCUGAGGAGCGAAAGCAUGGGGAGCGAACAGG
rnacentral:rRNA from 1 species